CCUACGGUGGGCAGCAGUGAGGAAUAUUGGUCAAUGGACUCAAGUCUGAACCAGCCAUGUCGCGUGCAGGAUGACGGCUCUAUGAGUUGUAAACUGCUUUUGUACGAGGGUAAACCCCGAUACGUGUAUCGGGUUGAAAGUAUCGUACGAAUAAGGAAUGGCUAACUCCGUGCCAGCAGCCGCGGUAAUAAGGAGGAUCCGAGCGUUAUCCGGAUUUUUUGGGGUUAAAGGGUGCGUAGGGGGUUUGAUAAGUUAGAGGGGAAAUGUCGGGGCUCAACCCCGAAACUGCCUCUAAUACUGUUGGACUAGAGAAUAGUUGCGGUAGGCGGAAUGUGUGGUGUAGCGGUGAAAUGCUUAGAGAUCAUACAGAACACCGAUUGCGAAGGCAGCUUACCAAACUAUAUCUGACGUUGAGGCACGAAAGCGUGGGUAGCAAACAGGAUUAGAUACCCGUGUAGUC
rnacentral:rRNA from 1 species